rnacentral:rRNA from 1 species
GACGAACGCUGGCGGCGUGCUUAACACAUGCCAGUCGAGCGGUAAGGCUCCUUCGGGAGUACACGAGCGGCGAACGGGUGAGUAACACGUGAGUAAUCUGCCCUUCACUUCGGGAUAACCACCGGAAACGGUGGCUAAUACCGAAUACGACCAGUCUUCGCAUGAGGUGCUGGUGGAAAGUCUUUUCGGUGAAGGAUGUGCUCGCGGCCUAUCAGCUUGUUGGUGGGGUAAUGGCCUACCAAGGCUUCGACGGGUAGCCGGCCUGAGAGGGUGACCGGCCACACUGGGACUGAGACACGGCCCAGACUCCUACGGGAGGCAGCAGUGGGGAAUAUUGGACAAUGGGCGAAAGCCUGAUCCAGCAACGCCGCGUGAGGGAUGACGGCCUUCGGGUUGUAAACCUCUUUCAGUACCGACGAAGCGCCCUGUCGGGUGGUGACGGUAGGUACAGAAGAAGGACCGGCCAACUACGU